rnacentral:lncRNA from 1 species
AUGAAAAGAUCUUCUUGGAUAGAUUUGAGUCAUCGUAUGUUGGAAGCUUUUGUUGCGAUCCUUUUAACAAACACAAAAUUAAAAUUAAAAAAUCUGUCAGAGUAAUCAGUGCUGCUGUUGCAAAGGAAUUUGAUUUAAUACCUGGUUAUAAGCUUUGUACAGAAUGUCGUAAAAUAUUGCACUUAAGAAAACAAGAACAU